rnacentral:rRNA from 1 species
UACAGAGGGUGCGAGCGUUAAUCGGAAUUACUGGGCGUAAAGAGCGCGCAGGCGGUCGUUCAAGUCGAGUGUGGAAGCCCCCGGCUCAACUGGGGAGGGUCACUCGAUACUGAUCGACUCGAAGGCAGAAGAGGGAAGCGGAAUUCCCGGUGUAGUGGUGAAAUGCGUAGAUAUCGGGAGGAACACCAGUGGCGAAGGCGGCUUUCUGGUCUGCUCUUGACGCUGAGGCGCGAAAGCUAGGGUAGCAAACGGG